CAGUAGCCGCGGUAAAACGAAGGGUGCAAGCGUUAAUCGGAAUUACUGGGCGUAAAGCGUGCGUAGGCGGUUUGUUAAGUCUGCUGUGAAAUCCCCGGGCUCAACCUGGGAAUGGCAGUGGAUACUGGCAAGCUAGAGUGUGUCAGAGGAUGGUGGAAUUCCCGGUGUAGCGGUGAAAUGCGUAGAGAUCGGGAGGAACAUCAGUGGCGAAGGCGGCCAUCUGGGACAACACUGACGCUGAGGCACGAAAGCGUGGGGAGCAAACAGGAUUAGAGACCCCCGUAGUCCCUGUCUCUUAUAC
rnacentral:rRNA from 1 species